rnacentral:rRNA from 1 species
GAUGAACGCUAGCUACAGGCUUAACACAUGCAAGUCGAGGGGAAACGACAUCGAAAGCUUGCUUUUGAUGGGCGUCGACCGGCGCACGGGGGAGUAACGCGUAUCCAACCUGCCCACCUCUUGGGGAUAACCUUGCGAAAGUAAGACUAAUACCCAAUGACGUCUCUAGAAGACAUCUGAAAGAGAUUACAGAUUUAUCGGUGAUGGAUGGGGAUGCGUCUGAUUAGCUUGUUGGCGGGGUAACGGCCCACCAAGGCGACGAUCAGUAGGGGUUCUGAGAGGAAGGUCCCCCACAUUGGAACUGAGACACGGUCCAAACUCCUACGGGAGGCAGCAGUGCGGAAUAUUGGUCAAUGGACGAGAGUCUGAACCAGCCAAGUAGCGUGCAGGAUGACGGCCCUAUGGGUUGUAAACUGCUUUUAGAAGGGAAUAAAGUGAGUCUCGUGAGACUUUUUGCAUGUACCUUAUGAAUAAGGACCGGCUAAUUCCGUG